GGGCCCGUAGCUCAGUGGUUAGAGCAGGCGGCUCAUAACCGCUUGGUCGCAGGUUCGAUCCCUGCCGGGCCCA
rnacentral:tRNA from 1 species